UACGGGGGGUGCGAGCGUUGUCCGGAAUCACUGGGCGUAAAGGGUGCGUAGGCGGUUGUUUAAGUUUGGUGUGAAAUCUCCCGGCUCAACUGGGAGGGUGCGCCGAAUACUGAAUGACUAGAGUGCGGGAGAGGAUAGUGGAAUUCCUGGUGUAGCGGUGAAAUGCGUAGAUAUCAGGAGGAACACCGGUGGUGUAGACGGCUAUCUGGACCGUAACUGACGCUGAGGCACGAAAGCGUGGGUAGCAAACAGG
rnacentral:rRNA from 1 species